UACGGAGGGUGCAAGCGUUAAUCCGGAUUCACUGGGUUAAGGAAGCGUAGUGGUGUGAGUUCAGUGGUGAAUCCCGAAGCCGUUACUAGGAAUUGCGAUGGAGACUGCAAGGCUUGAAUCUGGCAGAGGGGGGUAGAAUUCCACGUGUAGCAGUGAAAUGCGUAGAGAUGUGGAGGAACACCGAUGGCGAAGGCAGCCCCCUGGGUCAAAACUGACGCUCAUGCACGAAAGCGUGGGGAGCAAACAGG
rnacentral:rRNA from 1 species